CUGGUGGCGAAUUUUGUGUGGAUGGCCAGCAAGUGAAGGGUUUGGCUGUGAAUUUUUGUCUUGGUACUGGUCGUAGGACAAGCUUUGGUGGGCGGUUUGACAUACGCAAUCAUUGACCCAUAACAGACUAGACAAACUUCUCGACCUAACAAAACGUGCCGCCCGGCAACGCUGUCCAGGGGAAGGCGUUUUUCUGCGGCGCUUACCAACCACUGGAACUGCUAUACGCAGACGUUUCGCGGUGGCGCAUGGGGCGAAGAUGGCGAGAAGCUGCUCUGCAAUCGGGUGUAGUAAGAGGCAGGGUGAUCGGUGAAGACAUGGAGAUAGCUUGUCAUUCCACAAACGUAUCACAGUGGAUGCUGCCUGGUCUCGAGGUCCCGGUGUCGCACAGCCCGUAUCAGGCCCAUCAACUGGCUAGGACAACGAGAUUAUGCAAACUGUUUUGAACUAUAAAUGUUGUAGGCAUUGCGAGGAGCGAAAUACUGUAAUGUUUAUGAUGUAAAUGUCGGUCUAUUUUUUCAAAUAUAUAGCUUUGCCUCCGCC